ensembl:snRNA U6 U6 spliceosomal RNA
AUGCUCACUUCAGCAGCACAUGUACUAAAAUUGGAACGAUACAGAGAAGAUUAGCAUGGCCCCUGUGUAAGGAUGACGUGAAAAUUCGUGAAGUGUUCCAUGUUUAA